rnacentral:rRNA from 1 species
UACGAAGGGGGCUAGCGUUGUUCGGAAUUACUGGGCGUAAAGCGCGCGCAGGCGGCCUUUCAAGUCAGUGGUGAAAGCCCGGAGCUCAACUCCGGAACUGCCAUUGAAACUGUUUGGCUUGAGUACGAGAGAGGUGAGUGGAAUUCCCAGUGUAGAGGUGAAAUUCGUAGAUAUUGGGAAGAACACCGGUGGCGAAGGCGGCUCACUGGCUCGUAACUGACGCUGAGGUGCGAAAGCGUGGGGAGCAAACAGG